CUCCUCUCCUCUCCUCUCCUCUCCUCUCCCCUCCUCUCCUCUCCUCUCCUCUCCUCUCUCUCCACCAUAUUAUUCUUUUCUCUGUCUCUCUCUGACCCAAUUCCCUGUGCCAUCCUCCCUUCCCUUUCCUAACCUCUGGGUUUGUGCCAGCGUGAUACUGUAGGUAUCGGCAUGAGAAACAGCACUGCAUCGUCAGCUGUCUCUUCUGUAUCCAUGUCUAGCAUGGUGUACAUGCUGGUUAGAAGUAUUUUUUUUUUUUUGGGGGGGGGGGUUACUGAGGCUAUAGGGUCAGAUUGUGGCAUAUCAGUUGACUUACACUUGUUUUAAAUCGCCAUAAAACAGAAAUAUGUUUCAGUAUACGUACAUACUUUCAAGAGGUGUUUUACAAAGGAGUUUAUCUAGUGUUCUUUAUCAUCUUUUUCCAACACAAUCACUCAGAAAAGACAUUGCAGAUGACCCUUAGGGCUUUACAGAGGGCGUAACCUCUCAGAGAAACUCCUCUAGUGGCUGAGGCAUCACACCAUAAUACCAGCCAUAAGAGACCUUAGACCUUUUUGAUAUGACUCGUUGGCUUUCUCCUCAACCCCUUCACCUACUAAAGUAUGUUUGUGUCAAGGUUACCAGGUGUUGUGAUGAUUCCGGGUUGCCAGGUGUUGUGAUGAUUUCGGGUUGCCAGGUGUUGAGAUGAUUCCGGGUAACCAAGGUGUUGUGAUGAUUCCGGGUUACCAAGGUGUUGUGAUGAUUCCGGGUUACCAGGUGUUGUGAUGAUACCGGGUUGCCAGGUGUUGAGAUGAUUCCGGGUAACCAAGGUGUUGUGAUGAUUCCGGGUUACCAAGGUGUUGUGAUGAUUCCGGGUUGCCAGGUGUUGUGAUGAUUCCGGGUUGCCAGGUGUUGUGAUGAUUCCGGGUUGCCAGGUGUUGUGAUGAUUCAGGGUAACCAAGGUGUUGUGAUGAUUCCGGGUUACCAGGUCUUGUGAUGAUUCCGGGUUGCCAGGUGCUGUGAUGAUUCAGGGUAACCAAGGUGUUGUGAUGAUUCCGGGUUGCCAGGUGUUGUGAUGAUUCCGGGUUGCCAGGUGUUGUGAUGAUUCCGGGUUGCCAGGUGUUGUGAUGAUUCAGGGUAACCAAGGUGUUGUGAUGAUUCCGGGUUACCAGGUGUUGUGAUGAUUCCGGGUUGCCAGGUGCUGUGAUGAUUCAGGGUAACCAAGGUGUUGUGAUGAUUCCGGGUUACCAAGGUGUUGUGAUGAUUCCGGGUUACCAAGGUGUUGUGAUGAUUCCGGGUUACCAGGUGUUGUGAUGAUACCGGGUUGCCAGGUGUUGAGAUGAUUCCGGGUAACCAAGGUGUUGUGAUGAUUCCGGGUUGCCAGGUGUUGUGAUGAUUCAGGGUAACCAAGGUGUUGUGAUGAUUCCGGGUUACCAGGUGUUGUAAUGAUUCUUUCCUGAAGAGACUAACUAACCCUCGCCCUGUUCUAUACUGUGUGUAAUUGUCACCUGAACUUAACUCUACAUUCCUGCAUCAUUUAACCCUUAAAAUAUUAAGGAAGCAGACUAUCUGUGUAAGGACACUAAAUAUGGUUGUGUUUUGUUUCCUGAAGCUGUAACAAUAUAGAUCUAAGUCCAUGUACACUGAUAGGGAUAUGCAGUUUAUUUUGAGAAAUGUGUGUUAUGUUUUUUUUUUCUCUUGAUGUUAAGUAACUCUGACCCUUCUGUGGUUGGUGAGGCUGGUAGUUUUAUGGUCCAGAUUAUUCGUCCUUCAGAAUAAAAAAACGAUUCAUUUUUUGUAUGAUCAUGGAAGAUAGGGAAAACUGUCAACUCGGAGAUGUUAAUAAUAUCAUAGAGAUAUUGUCGUCUUCUCCGUAUACCAUGUGCCCCAGUGCAGUGUGACUUCUGUCAUCUAGGUUGCUGUAUGUGGGAGUGUUUGUGUACGUGCGUGAAUCCGCGAAUGCGUGUGUGUGUGUCCUUUUCAUACAGAGAACUUUUGUCCCUCCUUUCGGCUGUACCUCUCAAUUUAUUUAUGCGCUAUUAUCAUUGCUUUCACUUCCUCCCGUGUGGUGAUUGGAUAAGACAAUUUUACAGGAGCCAUUCUGAUUUGAUUAAGGACUCAGGAGAGACCAAUUCUACUAAGUCAUAUUUAAAGACUUUCUGGGUUUUUUUUGUGUUGCUGCUGGUGUUAUUAUCAUCGUGUAUUUAUCGUGUAUAUUUCGUGUAUUUUAACGAGCCGUGACAAACAUAUUAAUCAUAUCUGUGUAUGUGAGUAAAUGUGUCAAGGAGCAUGCCAAAUGAAUUCCAUGUGUCGUGUAUUAUAGGAGCGAUCCUCUUUGUAGGAACUCGUUUAAAGGGCAAGACCUUGUUCCUUCUGAUUACUAUUGGAGACUAGUAAUAAACUAGUAAUAAAUUAGUAAUAAACAUAUAUUUAGAAGCUCAA